rnacentral:rRNA from 1 species
GACAGAGGGUGCAAACGUUGUUCGGAAUUACUGGGCGUAAAGCGUGUGUAGGCGGCUUUGCAAGUCGGGUGUGAAAGCCCCAGGCUCAACCUGGGAAGUGCACUCGAUACUGCUAAGCUAGAGUGUCGGAGAGGUUGGUGGAAUUCUCGGGUGUAGAGGUGAAAUUCGUAGAUAUCGAGAGGAACACCGGUGGCGAAGGCGGCCAACUGGACGAACACUGACGCUGAGACACGAAAGCGUGGGGAGCAAACAGG